AACGAGCGCUGGCGGCGUGGAUAAGACAUGCAAGUCGAACGAGACUUUCUUUGGUAGCAAUACCGAAGGAAGUUUAGUGGCGAACGGGUGCGUAACACGUGGGCAAUCUGCCUUAAAGUGGGGGAUAGCUCGGCGAAAGCCGGAUUAAUACCGCAUGUGAUGAGGGGAGACAUCUUUCCAAAAUCAAAGUUGGUGCAAGCUAACGCUUUUUUGAGGAGCCCGCGGCCUAUCAGCUAGNGGUGGGGUAACGGCCUACCAAGGCUUUGACGGGUAGCUGGUCUGAGAGGACGACCAGUCACACUGGAACUGAGACACGGUCCAGACACCUACGGGUGGCAGCAGUCGAGAAUUUUUCUCAAUGGGGGCAACCCUGAAGGAGCGACGCCGCGUGGAGGAUGAAGGC
rnacentral:rRNA from 1 species